ACAUUACCGAAGAAUGAAGUGUCCUCAGUGCAGUUAUGUGUCUUUGGAAAAGGCACCAAACUUCUGCAGUCGGUGUGGCUGUAAGCUGUCAUGUCAAUCAAUUGAGACAACAGCAGACAAGCCACAAGACAAGUUUCAAACAUCCUCAAACAUUCCACACAGUACUGAUGCAGAAAUGACUGAUAUCAGACGUGAAUCAGAAGCAUUGGACUACCAGAAUGCCAAUCUAUCUCCAAAACGACAAAAUGAAGAUAAAAUCCCUAUCCCAAAGAAAAAGAAAAGAAAGAAGAAGAAAAAAGCAGGUGGUGCAGAGGGCCCUUCAUCUCUGACCUCAGAUCUCUCUGAUAUAUCGCUGACUGAAAAAGAAAAGAAAAUGGAGGAAGACCAAUCUUCUGACAGUGAUGGCUCUUACUGCACUGUAGAUGACAUGCCUAAACCGGCUGAAUCAUCCUCUCAUCUGAGCCUACCAGAAACUGAAACUGCUGAGCUAAAACAGCAUGCUGUCUCGGCUUUACCCAUAGAUGCUGCUUUAAGUCAGUCUGAUGAGCAGCCUAAUAGUAGCAAAGAGAGAUGUGUAGCACCUGAAACGACAGAAACAUCUAAGUUGCAGUUGACCCAAGAGCUGAUCAGCAUUAGCACUGACAAAGCUUCUCCAGCAGUGACCAUGGAAGUAAAUCAGAAAGAUGAAGAAGAUAAAGAAAAAUCUGAAAAUAAAGGACAAAAGAGUGUGUCUAAAAGAAAACAAACUACUCUAGAUCGAGAUGGUGAUAUGGACCGGAAUGCAAACAUAAAGAGCAGCACAGGAAAUCAAAGAGAGACCGAUGAUCAUGUUGUGGGAGCACUGAACAACCACAGCUCCAGUGGAGAUUUACCAGUGAAGGUUGAGCAGAGUCAGAAGCUGCAGUCUGCAUGUACCGGCCAGAAGAAUACAGCAUCUGAAAAACAAAAUAAAAGUGAGGAAGCAGAAACCAGUGAAGGCAAACAGCAUGUCUCAUUUCCUACAACGAAAAAAAAUCAAAAUCAGAAACCGCAGAAUUCAACACAGGACAUGGUGUUUGGCCCACAGAAUAAACCUAAGAAUCACGAUUCCAGUGGCGAUUCUUCAGUGAAGGUUGAACACAGUCAGAAGCCGCAGUCUGCUUGUACAGGCCAGAAGAAUACAGCAUCUGAGAAACAAAAUAAAAGUGAGGAAGCAGAAGCCGGUGAAGGCAAACAGCAUGUCUCAUUUCCUACAACGAAAAAAAAUCAAAAUCAGAAACCGCAGAAUUCAACACAGGACAUGGUGUUUGGCCCACAGAAUAAACCUAAGAAGAAUCACGAUUCCAGUGGCGAUUCUUCAGUGAAGGUUGAACACAGUCAGAAGCCGCAGUCUGCUUGUACAGGCCAGAAGAAUACAGCAUCUGAGAAACAAAAUAAAAGUGAGGAAGCAGAAACCAGUGAAGGCAAACAGCAUGUCUCAUUUCCUAAAACAAAAAAAAAUCAGAAUCAGGAACCACAGAAUUCAUCACAAGACACGGUGUUAGGCCCACAGAAUAAAUCUAAGGUAAACCAAAAUUAAAUAUAUAUUUAUUAGUGCUGUCAAAUCGCGAUUAAUCGUGUCCAAAAGUUUUUGUUUACAUAAUAUAUGUAUGUAUGCUGUUUAUAUUUAUUAUGUAUCUAUAAAUGCACACACAU
ensembl:lncRNA